rnacentral:rRNA from 1 species
AAACCUUACACACAGUGCUUAGUUUUUUCUAACAUUGCUUUGGGUCAGGCCUAGCUUGGCCCAGAGAAUUAAACACAAGAUUUUUAAUCUUUUUUUACAAACCUUUAGUCAAGAAGUUUUCUUAAAAACAAAUCUUCAAAACUUUCAACAACGGAUCUCUUGGUUCUCGCAACGAUGAAGAACGCAGCGAAAUGCGAUACGUAAUGUGAAUUGCAGGUUUUCGUGAAUCAUCGAAUCUUUGAACGCAUAUUGCGCCCUCUGGUAUUCCGGAGGGCAUGCCUGUUUGAGCGUCAUUUCUCUCUCAAACCUUCGGGUUUGGUAUUGAGUGAUACUCUAUUAACCAGGGUUAACUUGAAAUACUGUUGGCAAGAGCUGCUUUAGCAGGUCUCCUUCUGAACUAACGUUUCUAGGUUCUACCAAUUCGUUUAUGUUUGUAGGCAGAUUCUCUCUAGCUGUAGGCUCGGCCUAAACAACUAAUUCAUUAAGUUUGACCUCAAAUCAGGUAGGACUACCCGCUGAACUUAAGCAUAUCAAUAAGCG